rnacentral:rRNA from 1 species
GAUGAACGCUGGCGGCGUGCCUAAUACAUGCAAGUCGAGCGAACAGACGAGGAGCUUGCUCCUCUGACGUUAGCGGCGGACGGGUGAGUAACACGUGGAUAACCUACCUAUAAGACUGGGAUAACUUCGGGAAACCGGAGCUAAUACCGGAUAAUAUAUUGAACCGCAUGGUUCAAUAGUGAAAGACGGUUUUGCUGUCACUUAUAGAUGGAUCCGCGCCGCAUUAGCUAGUUGGUAAGGUAACGGCUUACCAAGGCGACGAUGCGUAGCCGACCUGAGAGGGUGAUCGGCCACACUGGAACUGAGACACGGUCCAGACUCCUACGGGAGGCAGCAGUAGGGAAUCUUCCGCAAUGGGCGAAAGCCUGACGGAGCAACGCCGCGUGAGUGAUGAAGGUCUUCGGAUCGUAAAACUCUGUUAUUAGGGAAGGACAAAUGUGUAAGUAACUAUGCACGUCUUGACGGUACCUAAUCAGAAAGCCACGGCUAACUACGUG